UCAAAUUUAUAUGCAAAUGCAAGUCGUUGGAAAGAUGUGGCUAGGAUCAGAUCAUUGAUGAGACAUAAUGGAAUUAAAAAAAGACCUGGUUGUAGUUGGGUCGAAGGAAUUAAAGGAACUACUACGUUCUUUGUUGGUGAUAAAACUCAUCCAUACACUAAGGAAAUAUACCAGGUCCUCUCAGAUUAUAUGCAACGCAUCAAGGAUAUUGGUUAUGUUCCUGAAACAGGCUUUGCUCUUCAUGAUGUAGACGAUGAAGAGAAAGAUGAUCUUCUUUUGGAGCAUAGUGAGAAGUUGGCUCUUGCAUACGGUAUUUUAACAACUCCUCAAGGUGCUGCUAUCAGGAUUACUAAGAAUUUACGGGUAUGUGGUGAUUGCCAUACUGCAUUCACAUACAUGUCCAGAAUCAUUGAUCAUGAGAUUAUAUUGAGGGACUCUAGUCGCUUCCAUCAUUUCAAUAAUGGGCUGUGUUCCUGCAAAGGUUUCUGGUGAUGAUGCUUUCUCUAUGCACUCCACCAAACAGUAGGAUCGUAAGAGGUCAGUUCAUUAUUCACUGAAACAGAAACAAUAGUUUUGAUUUGCACAUUCUGGUCUGACGAUAUCAAGUUAGCAAUUAUUGAAUCAGCACAUCAGUUUAUAUCUGGACCUGUCAACUACAUAUCAAUAGCAGUGCCAUAAUGCUAAGCUUGGCAGAUAGGUACAAAGCCAGAAAACAAUCACCAAACAGGCUUCGAAAGCAACCUGAGUGAAACCAUACAUUCAGGGUUUUCACAUGGUUACUGCAGAUUUCAGGAACGAUCUCUUGUUAACAGACAAAGAAAAGGAUCAUAAGCACUGUCUUAUAGACCUCAUGUAGAUUGUAUAUUUAAGCAAAUUUUGUAGAUGAAUAGUUCUUCUUUAUUUGUGCUGAAGAAUACAAAAUCACACUCCAUACCAUUAGUGUGUUCAUAAUAAAACAAGAUUUUUUGUUGCA